AACGAACGCUGGCGGCAGGCCUAACACAUGCAAGUCGAGCGAACCCUUCGGGGUUAGCGGCGGACGGGUUAGUAACGCGUGGGAAUAUACCCUUUGGUACGGAAUAGCCUCGGGAAACUGAGAGUAAUACCGUAUGUGCCCUUCGGGGAAAGAUUUAUCGCCAAAGGAUUAGCCCGCGUUGGAUUAGGUAGUUGGUGGGGUAAUGGCCUACCAAGCCUACGAUCCAUAGCUGGUUUGAGAGGAUGAUCAGCAACACUGGGACUGAGACACGGCCCAGACUCCUACGGGAGGCAGCAGUGGGGAAUCUUAGACAAUGGGCGCAAGCCUGAUCUAGCCAUGCCGCGUGGACGAUGAAGGCCUUAGGGUUGUAAAGUCCUUUCAGAUGGGAAGAUAAUGACGGUACCAUCAGAAGAAGCCCCCGGCUAACUCCGUG
rnacentral:rRNA from 1 species